rnacentral:tRNA from 1 species
GCCUGGAUAGCUCAGUUGGUUAGAGCAUAGUGCCGAUAACACCAAGGUUGCAGGUUCAAUCCCCGUAUGGGACA